rnacentral:rRNA from 1 species
AGAAUCAACGCUGGCGGCGUGCCUAACACAUGCAAGUCGCACGAGAAAGUGGAGCAAUCCACGAGUAAAGUGGCGCACGGGUGAGUAACACGUGAAUGAUCUACCUCCGAGUGGGGAAUAACUGAGAGAAAUCUUAGCUAAUACCGCAUAACACUUACGAGUCAAAGCAGCAAUGCGCUUGGAGAGGAGUUCGCGGCCGAUUAGCUAGUUGGCGGGGUAAUGGCCCACCAAGGCGAUGAUCGGUAUCCGGCCUGAGAGGGCGCACGGACACACUGGAACUGAAACACGGUCCAGACUCCUACGGGAGGCAGCAGUGGGGAAUUUUGCGCAAUGGGGGAAACCCUGACGCAGCAACGCCGCGUGGAGGAUGAAGCCCCUUGGGGUGUAAACUCCUUUCGAUCGGGAAGAUGAUGACGGUACCGAUAUAAGAAGCCCCGGCUAACUUCGCGCCAGCAGCCGC